rnacentral:rRNA from 1 species
GACGAACGCUGGCGGCGUGCCUAAUACAUGCAAGUCGAGCGAUGAAGAUUGGUGCUUGCCCCAUUCUGAAGAGCAGCGAACGGGUGUGUAAAGCGUGGGGAAUCCGCCUUUGUGCGGGGGACAACCUUUGGAAAAGGAUGGUAAUACCGCAUUACAACCUUAAGCAUAAUUUUUAAGUUUGAAAGAUGCAUUUGCAUCACUCAAAGAUGAUUCCGCGUUGUAUUAGCUAGUUGGUGGGGUAAAGGCUCACCAAGGCGGUGAAACAUAGCGGGCGUGAGAGGAGGGACAGCCACAUUGGGACGGGGACACGGCCCAAACUCCUACAGGAAGCAGCAAGAGGGAAACUUCGGCAAGGGACGAGAAUCUGACCGAACAACGCCGCGGUGUGUAAGAAGGUCUUCGGAUCGGAAAACUCUGUUGGUAGGGAAGAACGUGGGUGAGAGUGGAAAGCUCAUCAAGUGACGGUAACUACCCAGGAAGGGACGGCUAACUACGUG